AAAGUAGCCUAUGCAACCGCCAUGGAUUGGUUCAUUGCCGUGUGUUUUGCCUUU
rfam:Larimichthys crocea isolate SSNF unplaced genomic scaffold scaffold93, whole genome shotgun sequence.